GGGCGGUUAGCUCAACGGUAGAGCGCCUGCCUUACAAGCAGGAUGUUGCGGGUUCGAAUCCCUCACUGCCCA
rnacentral:tRNA from 1 species